UACGUAGGGUGCAAGCGUUGUCCGGAAUUAUUGGGCGUAAAGGGCGCGUAGGCGGCGACUAAAGUCAGAUGUGAAAGCCCUGGGCUCAACCCAGGAAGUGCAUCUGAUACUGAGUUGCUUGAGUGCUGGAGAGGGUGGUGGAAUUCCUGGUGUAGAGGUGAAAUUCGUAGAUAUCAGGAGGAACACCGGUGGCGAAGGCGACCACCUGGACAGACACUGACGCUGAGGCGCGAAAGCGUGGGGAGCAAACAGG
rnacentral:rRNA from 1 species